AUUAAGUGAUGAUUACUUACCGCCCCAGUCUGAUGGAGGUGAUUGAUUGGUUAUUCUGAUGUACU